rnacentral:misc_RNA from 1 species
AGGUGAACCUGCGGAAGGAUCAUUACUAGAGCAAAGGAUAGACACUACCCUACUUCGGUAGGGUUUAGAGUCGUCGGGCCUCUCGGAGAAGCUCGGUCCUGAACUCCACCCUUGAAUAAAUUACCUUUGUUGCUUUGGCGGGCCGCCUCGUGCCAGCGGCUUCGGCUGUUGAGUGCCCGCCAGAGGACCACAACUCUUGUUUUUAGUGAUGUCUGAGUACUAUAUAAUAGUUAAAACUUUCAACAACGGAUCUCUUGGUUCUGG